CACAGUUCCAUAUUCUCACACGUUAUUUUUAUUUUACUCCUUAUUCUCCUUUAUUUUCAUCUUCAUAUUCAGUUUUCGACGUUUUUCAGUCUCAUUUCAUUCAUCGCUUUCUUUCCUCACAAUUCUCUAAUUUUUUUCUUUUGUCGUUGUUCAGGGCGUUUCGUCUUCUCCUUGUUUCUACCUUCAAUGUUGGUUUUUCAACAAUCUGUGUGAAAGAAUGUCUCAUAUCCUUUUAUAUGCGAACGCGGUAACCAAAGGGACCGAGAUCGUGAAAGGGCUCAGGCAAGCGCCGAUGGAAAAACUAAGCCGCCUAAAAUGAUGACUUUGACUCCUGAACAGCGCAUGGAAAGGGAUGCGAAAGCAUUGCAGGAGAAAGCGGCGAGGAAAGCUGCCUGAGGGAAUAAUGCAGGUGGUGCAGAGGCAAAAAUAAGGCAAGAUUGUUGAAUUGGGGAAGGGGAGGGACUCUGCAUAUUGUAUUGCUUAUCAUCAUAUGGGCAUUUGGUUGAGUCAUCUGCGUAUGCCAUUUCAUAUAAACAAUUGAGUAACUAGUGGUUAGCAUGGAGGGCGUUAAUUGUUGUUGGCUUUAAUCCUUUGACCUUUAUAUAGUUUGGAAUGCAAUUUAUCAGUAGCUUGCUGUUAUGA